GUGCAGCAGGCGCGAAAAUUUCGCAAUGCGCGAAAGCGUGACGAAGCAACUCGGAGUGCUUCACGAAAGUGGAGCUUUUGCCAAGGCUGAAAACUUUGGAGAAUAAGGAGAGGGCAAGUCUGGUGUCAGCCGCCGCGGUAAUACCAGCUCUCCGAGUGGUGGGGAUGUUUAUUGGGCCUGAAGCAUCCGUAGCUGGCUGAGCAAGUUCUCCGUUAAAUCCAGCGAUUUAAUCGUUGGACUGCGGAGGAUACUGUUCGGCUAGGGGGCGGGAGAGGCCGACGGUAUUCUCGGGGUAGGGGUGAAAUCCUAUAAUCCCGGGAAGACCACCAGUGGCGAAGGCUGUCGGCUAGAACGCGCCCGACGGUGAGGGAUGAAAGCUGGGGGAGCGAACCGGAUUAGAUACCCCGGUAGUCC
rnacentral:rRNA from 1 species